GUCGAGAAUAAUUCACAAUGGGGGCAACCCUGAUGGUGCAACGCCGCGUGGAGGAUGAAGGUCUUCGGAUUGUAAACUCCUGUCAUCCGGGAGCAAGACCUGGCCGUGAAUAGCGGACAGGGUUGAUAGUACCGGAAGAGGAAGGGACGGCUAACUUCGUGCCAGCAGCCGCGGUAAUACGAAGGUCCCGAGCGUUGUUCGGAAUCACUGGGCGUAAAGGGAGCGUAGGCGGCGCGGUAAGUCAGAUGUGAAAUCCUAGGGCUCAACCCUGGAACUGCAUCCGAUACGGCUGUGCUUGAGCAAUGGAGAGGUAGCCGGAAUUCUCGGUGUAGCAGUGAAAUGCGUAGAUAUCGAGAGGAACACUCGUGGCGAAAGCGGGCUACUGGACAUUUGCUGACGCUGAGGCUCGAAGGCCGGGGGAGCGAAAGGGAUUAGAUACCCGGGUAGUCC
rnacentral:rRNA from 1 species